GUGCCUAAUACAUGCGAGUCGAGCGAUAAGGCGGCUGUCGGGGGGUCAUCAGCGGCAGACGGGUGAGUAACACGUAGGUAACCUGCCCUCAAGACGGGGAUAACGCCUGGAAACGGGCGCUAAUACCGGAUGACCUUGGUCGGGGAAGCUCCGGCUAAUGAAAGGCAAUAGCGCUUGAGGAGGGGCCUGCGGCCCAUCAGUUAGUUGGUAGGGUAACGGCCUACCAAGGCGAAGACGGGUAGGGGGUGUGAGAGCACGGUCCCCCACACUGGGACUGAGACACGGCCCAGACUCCUACGGGAGGCAGCAGCGGGGAAUAUUGCGCAAUGGACGGAAGUCAGACGCAGCGACGCCGCGUGGGUGAAGAAGGCCUUCGGGUUGUAAAGCCCUUUUCUGAGGGAAGAGAAAGGACGGUACCUUAGGAAUAAGCGUCGGCUAACUACGUGCCAGCAGCCGCGGUAAGACGUAGGACGCGAGCGUUAUCCGGAUUUACUGGGCGUAAAGCGUGUGUAGGCGGCGUGACAAGUUGGGCGUGAAAGCCCCGUGCUCAACGCGGGGAGGCCGCACAAUACUGUCAGGCUAGAGGGCAUCAGAGGGGUGUGGAAUUCCCGGAGUAGCGGUAAAAUGCGCAGAUAUCGGGAGGAACACCGGUGGCGAAAGCGGAACCCUGGGGUGCACCUGACGCUGAGAGACGACAGCUAGGGGAGCGAACAGGAUUAGAGACCCUGGUAAUACUAGACGUAAACGAUGGAUGCUAG
rnacentral:rRNA from 1 species